AUUGAACGCUGGCGGCAUGCUUUACACAUGCAAGUCGAACGGUAACAGGCCUUCGGGUGCUGACGAGUGGCGAACGGGUGAGUAAUGCAUCGGAACGUGCCCAAUCGUGGGGGAUAACGUAGCGAAAGUUACGCUAAUACCGCAUAAGCCCUGAGGGGGAAAGCAGGGGAUCGCAAGACCUUGCGCGAAUGGAGCGGCCGAUGUCAGAUUAGCUAGUUGGUGGGGUAAAGGCCUACCAAGGCGACGAUCUGUAGCGGGUCUGAGAGGAUGAUCCGCCACACUGGGACUGAGACACGGCCCAGACUCCUACGGGAGGCAGCAGUGGGGAAUUUUGGACAAUGGGCGCAAGCCUGAUCCAGCCAUGCCGCGUGAGUGAAGAAGGCCUCGGUGU
rnacentral:rRNA from 1 species